rnacentral:lncRNA from 1 species
GUGGGGUGGGGUUCCCCAUACAAUCUUUCUGAGUCGUCCAGGAACUUCUCUGCCACGCUCAAGUCUCCUGUUCAAGAGCCACACAUUUUGUAUAUAUUUAGCACUUUGGCGUAAUAUUGGCAGGCAGCCCGAAUAUCCUCUACUGCAGCACCCUAUACUUGUACAGGGAUCACUGUGCACGGGUGUAUCGUAAGAUUCAACGCAUAUCGCUCACAAGCCUCUGGGAGCACAUGCACAUGCACAGCAAUAUAACUAUCGAAAGGCAGGCGUGCGUCUGCUGCUACCCUUCCUUGCAAGUAGGCAACCAACAGUGAAGUCAUAAGAUGUUCUCACUGUAAUACACAUCGAUCAGGACGUUUCCGCAAUAUUUGUCCUCCAGAGCGGGAAUGCAGUUAUCUCACCUAAACUUUUCAUCGAUACAGCGCUCUGUACGCCGUGCAAACCUCCCGGAGCCAUUACUUUUUGUUUUGACGCGCAAGCAUUCACAAUUAGAAUACGUUAUCGGGGCAGAUACGGCUCGUCCUGGUUUGCGGGAGCUGGGUACAGGAUGUACCGGCGGCUGCUUGCUGGGAAUAGCGAUCAGACUUCUGGGCGAUCCUCUAGUACUUAUUGCGAGCUUUAUACUAUGUCAAGAUAUCAAGAACAGCUUGUAAAUCCGAUGUGGUGUCGGUGUGGGCACCAAGCCAUUCCAAUGGUCACUCCAGGUUCAC